UACGGGGGGGGCAAGCGUUGUUCGGAAUUACUGGGCGUAAAGGGCUCGUAGGCGGCCAACUAAGUCAGACGUGAAAUCCCCCGGCUUAACCGGGGAACUGCGUCUGAUACUGGAUGGCUAGAGUGUGGGAGAGGGAUGCGGAAUUCCAGGUGUAGCGGUGAAAUGCGUAGAUAUCUGGAGGAACACCGGUGGCGAAGGCGGCAUCCUGGACCAUAACUGACGCUGAAUAGCGAAAGCCAGGGGAGCAAACGGG
rnacentral:rRNA from 1 species